UUACAUAGCCUGUCGUCAGGUGCUCAUUUUGCAAUGAGAGAAUCGGGAAUGCGGUGAAAUUCCGCAACGUGCCCAACGCUGUGAGGUGGAUGGUUGCAGCUUUUGCCACUGGUGAAAACCGGGAAGGUGCGGCAGCCAGAUGAAGCCCAGUCAGAAGACCGGCCUGACAAGAUAGACGUGC
rnacentral:ncRNA from 1 species